CCAGAGAUGGAUUGGUGCCUUCGGGAACUCUGACACAGGUGCUGCAGUGGCUGUCGUCAGGCUCGUGUCGUGAGAUGUUGGGUUAAGUCCCGUAACGAGCGCAACCCUUGUCCUUAGUUACCAGCACGUUAUGGUGGGCACUCUAAGGAGACUGCCGGUGACAAACCGGAGGAAGGUGGGGAUGACGUCAAGUCAUCAUGGCCCUUACGGCCUGGGCUACACACGUGCUACAAUGGUCGGUACAAAGGGUUGCCAAGCCGCGAGGUGGAGCUAAUCCCAUAAAACCGAUCGUAGUCCGGAUCGCAGUCUGCAACUCGACUGCGUGAAGUCGGAAUCGCUAGUAAUCGUGAAUCAGAAUGUCACGGUGAAUACGUUCCCGGGCCUU
rnacentral:rRNA from 1 species